rnacentral:rRNA from 1 species
UACGUAGGGGGCUAGCGUUGUCCGGAUUUAUUGGGCGUAAAGAGCGUGUAGGCGGCCAGGUAGGUCAGCUGUGAAAACUCGAGGCUCAACCUCGAGAUGUCGGCUGAAACCAUCUGGCUAGAGUCCGGAAGAGGAGAAUGGAAUUCCCGGUGUAGCGGUGAAAUGCGCAGAUAAUCGGGAAGAACACCCGUGGCGAAGGCGGUUCUCUGGGACGGUACUGACGCUGAGACGCGAAGCGUGGGGAGCGAACAGG